rnacentral:rRNA from 1 species
AUUGAACGCUGGCGGCAUGCCUAACACAUGCAAGUCGAACGGCAACGACGUCUAGCUUGCUAGACGGGUGGCGAGUGGCGAACGGGUGAGUAACGCGUAGGAAUAUACCUUGAAGUGGGGGACGAACUUGGGGAAACGUACAAGCUAAUACCGCAUGUGCUCUGAGGAGUAAAGACUGGGGACCGUUUGGGUCCGUGGCGGCUUUAAGUAUUAGCCUGCGUCCGAUUAGCUAGUUGGUGAGGUAAGGGCGUUACCAAGGCGACGAUCGGUAGCUGGUCUGAGAGGAUGGCCAGCCACACUGGAACUGAGACACGGUCCAGACUCCUACGGGAGGCAGCAGUGGGGAAGU